AUUGAACGCUGGCGGCAGGCCUAACACAUGCAAGUCGAGCGGAUGAGGGUAGCUUGCUACCUGAUUCAGCGGCGGACGGGUGAGUAAUGCCUAGGAAUCUGCCUGGUAGUGGGGGACAACGUUUCGAAAGGAACGCUAAUACCGCAUACGUCCUACGGGAGAAAGUGGGGGAUCUUCGGACCUCACGCUAUCAGAUGAGCCUAGGUCGGAUUAGCUAGUUGGUGGGGUAAAGGCUCACCAAGGCGACGAUCCGUAACUGGUCUGAGAGGAUGAUCAGUCACACUGGAACUGAGACACGGUCCAGACUCCUACGGGAGGCAGCAGUGGGGAAUAUUGGACAAUGGGCGCAAGCCUGAUCCAGCCAUGCCGCGUGUGUGAAGAAGGUCUUCGGAUUGUAAAGCACUUUAAGUUGGGAGGAAGGGCAGUAAGUUAAUACCUUGCUGCUUUGACGUUACCGACAGAAUAAGCACCGGCUAACUCUGUGCC
rnacentral:rRNA from 1 species